CCUACGGGAGGCAGCAGUGAGGAAUAUUGGUCAAUGGACGAGAGUCUGAACCAGCCAAGUAGCGUGAAGGAUGACUGCCCUAUGGGUUGUAAACUUCUUUUAUAUGGGAAUAAAGUGUUCCACGUGUGGGAUUUUGUAUGUACCAUAUGAAUAAGGAUCGGCUAACUCCGUGCCAGCAGCCGCGGUAAUACGGAGGAUCCGAGCGUUAUCCGGAUUGAUUGGGUUUAAAGGGAGCGUAGAUGGGUUGUUAAGUCAGUUGUGAAAGUUUGCGGCUCAACCGUAAAAUUGCAAUUGAUACUGGCAGUCUUGAGUACAGUUGAGGUAGGCGGAAUUCGUGGUGUAGCGGUGAAAUGCUUAGAUAUCACGAAGAACCCCGAUGGCGAAGGCAGCUUACUAAAAUGUGACUGACAUUGAUGCUCGAAAGUGUGGGUAGCAAACAGGAUUAGAUACCCGUGUAGUC
rnacentral:rRNA from 1 species